ensembl:lncRNA
GGCUCUGCUGCGAAAGCUAUUCUCAACUUCUCUGCUCACUGAAAUCCGUUCACCGCCUCUCAUUGACGAAUUGCCGGAGGGUAGUUUGGCUCGACACCGGUUGUUAUCCACUGCUAAAUGUUUUUCACUCAAAAACCUCGGAGUAUCAAAACAAUUAUACUAGACGCAACUUCCACCAACCACGGAACCAGGAGGAGAAGGCAACAGGUCCAAGAAAACCUGUGACAUUCAGCGCAAGAUGCAUUGGAGGCUUAGUUGCCGAGUGGGGAAAUUUGGUGUGUCUGAGGAUUUUCCCACCCUGUCACCUCUCCUCAUGGAUGAUUUCUCUUGCGUGAGCGUGUCCCUCUCCAUUGUCCUAGUGUUCAUGGGUCCCAUAUUGCACAACAGCGUCUGUUCAUCCUCAGUUGGCCCCUAGCCUUCACUACCCACUCGCUCUGCUCUACUCGUC